GGGAGCGGAAGCGACUCUUCCGGUCGCGGGAGCCUUAGGCAAGAGCUGCUGGACUGGAGGGAGGGAGGGGAGGGGAGGGGAGGGGCGCGGGGACUCAAGCCACGGUUUUUGUGUCCGCGGCUGCACCCCUCUCGAAGCGUUUUCACGCACAUGUAAAGCGUUGCAGUUCGCUUGGUGUUGUGCGCAUUUAACAUUUUUUCAUAGCUAUUUUUGUUAUUGUAGUUUGUUUUUACUAAUAGACUAUUAAUCCAUUAGUAUCCUUGUAUAAGAAUGGCUUUUGAUUGUUGAUCUAUCUGGACACUUCACUAAACGUUCGUAUUCUAAAAAUUUGACAGGCAGUCCUCUUUGAUUUGUAGGUAAGAAUUUAUCUGUAAAGAACAAUUUUGGCUUUUCCCAAGAAUCCAGUGCAACACUGAAUAGUAGCCGGAGGUACUUAUUUCUUACCAGGAGUUAUUUUGGAUUGCAUCUUAGGUUUCAUUCAAGAUAUCUUCUGCAGGUUUAUGGUGUGUGUGUGUGUGGGUGUAUAGGCAAAUUAUGUUCUUUUCGUAGUUUACCAUAUCGGUUUUUUUUUUAAUCAGCAAAUGACUAAGUUUUACCAAGUAUUUUCAGUAUCAGUCUUUGAGAUGAUUGUAUGGCCUUUUUUCCAUUACUCUACAAUAAAAUAACUACAAUAAUAGAUUUUCUAAUGGUGAGCCAAACUUAGAAUCCUGGUAUCUUAUUUUUUCAAUAUAUUGCUGGAUGCAAUUUGCUGUGUAGUUAAUUUUGGAUUUUCAUGUAUGCACCUAAGUUAGAUUGGCUUAUGGUUUUCUUUUGCUGUCCUUGUCUAGUUUUGGUAUCAGGUUGUGCUAGGAGUCAGACAGGUUAACUUAUUUUUGUAUGACCUGGAAUAGACAUAGCAUGUGUGAAUGAUACAUUUCUUAGGUUUUGAAGAACUCAUCUUUAAAGCCUUCUGGGUGUGGUGCCAUCUUAAUGGAUAGUUUUGUUUUUUAUAUAGCGUCCAUCGUUAUUGAUACCUAGAAUUUUUUCUUUUGCUUCUUGAGAAAAUUAGUUUUUUCUAGAAAAGUAUUGGCCGGGUGCGGUGACUCACGCCUGUGAUCCCAGCACAUUGGGAGGCCGAGGAGGGCGGAUCACGAGGUCAGGAGAUCGAGACCAUCCUGGCUAACACGGUGAAACUCCGUCUCUACUAAAAAUACGACAAUGAAAAAUUAGCCGGGCAUGGUGGCGGGCGCCUGUAGUCCCAGCUACUCAGGAGGCUGAAGCAGGAGAAUGGCUUGAACCCGGGAGGCGGAGCUUGCAGUGAGCUGAGAUUUUGCUACUGCACUCCAGCCUGGGGGACAGAGCGAGACUCCAUCUUUAAAAAAAAAGUAUUUCAGCUAUAUUUUCUAACAUUUAAAAAAAUCUCAUAUUGUUCUCAACCAUUCUUAUAUAUUCUUAUAUAUAUAUUCUUAUAUAUUGUAUUGGAGUCUUUUUCUUGAUCAUAUUUAUCAAACCAGCUUUUGGUUUUAUAGAUAAAAUCUGUCUUAAAAGUAAUUUCUCUUUCAUUAAUGUAUGCCUUCAUUAAUUUCUUCUUAUCUCUUUGGGUUUAUUUUGUUCUUUUUAUAGAAUCUUGGAAGCUUAACUUUCCUUUAAAAUGUUUAAUAUGAAAUAUUACCAGAAUGUACAGUUACAGAAAAUAAUAUAAUGAACACUUGUAUACCAACCAUCUAGCUUUAUCCCAUUUUAACAUUUUCUCUUAUUUGCUUCAGAUUUUAACAUUCAGUUAGAGCUCCUUGUGAAACUGCCUGCAAUCUCAUUCUCCCUCUCUUCCUCUCUGAAAUUAACUACUUCAUUGAAUUUGGUAUCUGUCAUUCCCAUGAAAGCUUUUAUGUAUGCUCCAAAUACAUGUAGCGAUGUUAAGUAGCAUAAAGUACUGUUUUAUGCUUUUUAAACCUAAUAUAAAUGAUAUGCAUGUCACUUACUUUUGCCACCUAUAAUUAUGUAUGUAAAAUUUAUCCAGGAUGAUUCCUGUAGUUCUAGUUUUAUUUUAACUGCUGAAUAGUAUUCCAUUGUAUAAUUGUACCACCAUUUAUCCAUUCUCCAGUUGCUAGCAAUUUCAUGAUUCCUGAUUUCUGUCAUUAUAACAUGAGUUAGUUCUUGCACACAGCUUCUUAGACAUAUGGUAAGAAUUUCCUUAGGAUAAUGUCUAGAAAUGGAAUUGCAAGGUGGAAGGGUUUGCACAGUUCAACUUUGAUAUUGCCAAAUUGUUCUCCAGUGGUUGUACUAACUUACCCUCCAUCAGCAAUGUAGGAGAGCUGCUGUUGCUCCAUUCCAUGCCAACACAGGUUAUUUUUUUGCCCCAGUUUUUUUGUUUUGUUGUUUGGUUUUUUUUUUGCUGUUACCAACUGCUGACAGUAAAUUUUCUUGUACAUGUUUCCUGGUACACGUGUGCAAGAGUUUCUCUGACUAUAAAGCUAAUGCAGUUAUUAACUCUAUUUUGUUUUCGGUAUGUUUUUUAAAAGCAUGUACAUGUCCCCCUCAUUUGAGAUUUCUCCCUGUUAAUACUAACACUUAACUUAUUCAUAGAUAUAUCUCACUCAUUUUUUUCUAUGUAUCAUGCUUCCUGUUCUCUUUACUGCCUUUGGUUUGACAGUCUUUUUUUCCAGUUUUUUUCCCGCUUUAGUGGUUUGAAAGUUAUAUUUGAUUUUUAUUCUAUGAAUAGUAGUUACUCUUCUAACUCAUUUAAAGGUGUAUCUUUAUAUAUAUGUGUGUGUGUGUGUUUAGAAUUCAUCAGUAUCCAUAUGAGGCAGUCUGUGUAGUGGUUAAGAGUGGAGCCUGUGAGGCCAGACUGCCUGGAUUCAGAUCCUAGCACUACCACUUAUUAGCUGAGUAACCUAGAGCUUAUUACAUAAACUCUCUGUGCCUCAGUUGUUUCAUCUGUAAAGUGGGGAUAAUACAGCAUAUACCUCAUGAGGUUGUUCUAAGAUUAAUAUGUUAAUAUAUGUAACAUUCUUAGGACAGUGCCUAAUGCUUGGAUCUCUUUACCAGAUUUUUCAUCUAUGGAAUGGGCAGAAGACUUGCCUAUCAGAGUUGUUACAAAAAUUCAGUGCAUUAGUGUAUUCAUUCAUUUUAAUACACUGAGCACCUGCUGUGCACUUUUGAAUUAGACAUGGUUCUCGGCUUCAGUGGUCUCAUAAGGGAACAGACAUGAAAUGCAAUUUCAAUACGAUUUAACCUUAAUACUCUUCCCAUGUUCUCUCUUGUCCCCCUUCUAAUCUGUGCUCCACAUUAAGAGGCAAAACAUUAAUCAGAUCAUGCAUCCUCUGCCCAUCAUAUGUUAACUUUCAUUAUACUUUACAUAAACCAUAAACUUCUCACCAUGGCCUGAGCCCUCAGGUUCUAAACCCUGUGCCUCCCUCUCUAACCUCAUCAACUAUCAUUCUCCUGAUUUCUACCAAAUUCCCACCACACUAUCCUCUUCUCAGUUCCUUGAGCCAACACUCUUCAGUGCCCUCUGCUCAGAUUACUGAUCCACCCUGACAGCUCUUCCCACGACUGACUCAUCUUUCAGAUCUCAGCUUGAUUAGGUCAGGCAGUUAGUUACAAGCAACGGAAUCCACUCUGGUUGAGAAAGAAAAGGACUUUUAAAAAAUCAUGUAGCUCACAGAAUCUCUAGGAGAGCCAGAGGCCAAAUAUGGAAACAACGGUACCCAAACACACUAGACGAUCUAGUGAGAAUCCAUUGCUGCUGCCACCAUUGACACCAAAACUGCAACUUCCACAAACACUGGCGGUCCCCACUGGUAGCCAGAGUUAGGCAUGUUUCCUUCUUCAUCUUGCUCACUUUUUUUUUUUUUUUUUUUUGGAGAUGGAGUCUCACUCUGUCACCCAGGCUGGAGUGCAGUGGCAUGAUCUCAGCUCACUGCAACCUCUGCCUCCCAGGUUCAAGCAAUUCUCCUGCCUCAGCCUCCCGAGUAGCUGGGACUACAGGUGCCCGCCACCACGCCCGGCUAAUUUUUGUAUUUUUAGUAGAGACGAGGUUUCACCUGUUGGCCAGGCUGGUCUCGAACUCCUGACCUUGUGAUCCACCCUCCUCAGCCUCCCAAAGUGCUGGGAUUACAGGCGCGAGCCACUGUGCCCAGCCUGUCUUGCUCACUUUCAAGUUGAAAUUUUGCAUUGGCUAUGCCUGCUUGGUGGGGCCUAGGUCACAUUGCUGUGCUACAAAGGGGGUCAAGGAGGCAAGUUUUCUCAUAGGAAAUGCCUCAGACUUUAUAAGCGUGUUGAAAAGUGCUGGGUAUUCAGAAAACAUGUCACAUGAACAUGAGAUAAUGUGUUACCUCAGCAUUAAGGCCUUCUCUGACAACCCCAGUACAUUUUCCCCACAGCAGCCCCAUCAGUCUUUUCCUGUACUCUGUCAUUUUCUUCAAGGCACUUGUCACAACUUGUAUUGUUAUGUACUUAAUUUGUUCAAAUGUCUUAUAAAUUCUGGGGCCAUAGAGUCUAUGCGUGGAGUUUCAAAUAAGUAUAUUUCAAACAGCCAAAAAUAAUUUUAAAAUGUAUUUUAGUCUUUAGCAUGGGCCUCUUGAAAGAAAAAAGAAUAAAAAAGGCUCCAAGUCACAGUUCCCAGCAGUUCCCGUAGUUUCUGUUUGUUGUUUUGUUUUGUUUUUUCUUAUUUCCAUGGCUGCUUUUGCAGUGUUUCCAUAGUUUCAAAUUCCCUCCUCUCUCUUCUUUAAUUCUCCCCAAUCCUUAUGUGGAUCUGUUUAGCUACUCUCCAUAAACCUUUCCCUUAGAGCUCACCUUUCAAAUGCUUUUCUGCCUGUUCUCUUAUUUUGCAUCACAAACAUCCAGAACAGGUCUGAGAGGUACACUUUCUUAGGACACUGGGGAGAGAAGUGGAGAGGCAAAGUCUUUAUCAGCCUGGAGGCUGGGGAAGAUUUACACACUGAUCAGUUUUCUGUACCACUUCUGAUUGACCUACAGAUUAGAAGUCUGAGGAGGACAGGGACAAUAUCUGUUCUAUUUGUAACUCCCACAAUCUGACAAAUAUGUAGUCAACAUUUGUUUUCUGGAAAAAGAAAAGUCGAGCAAUUGAGGUAUGGGAAAAGAAGUAUACAGCACAGAGCAAGGAUUCUUGACAUAGUGAAGGUGAAACCACCUUUGCAGAAAUUAUGACAGCCAAUUAUGACAGUGAAAGAGAUCUGACCUAGCCAACUCCAUCUCACUUCUAACCCCCAAGCUGUUCUUGUGCAUUCCUGAGUGUAGGCGGAACUAACUUUGGGAGGAACUUAGUUUUACUUUGAAACAAAGAUGACAACAGUCCUAUCUCAGAACAAACCCCCUUCCUGCCUGGGGACCAGACUUUGUAGGACUAACAAAUGAGCCACAACAUUAGAAAUUAUAGUUUAGGAGUCAUGCAGCUAGAGGCCACAAGAUUCUAAGCCUCCCCAAUUGCUCCUAGGGAUAACAUCACUAUUAUAAAACCUACGAUUGGUGCUCAAGGUAUUUUCAGACCCCUCCCUGGAUGGAUCAGCUGCUCCCACCCAGACUGAUGGUCUUGUGGCUUCCACUCAGGAACUGACUCAGCACAAGAGGACAGCUUUGACUCCCCAUUCCUGGGGGACCAGUCAGCACUCCCCACUACCUGCCCCCCAUCCAUGAGAUUAUCCUUAAAAACCCCAGUCUCCGAAUUUUCAGGGAGACUGAUCUGAGCAAUAAUAAAACGGCAGUCUCCUGUACAACCAGCUGUGUGAAUUAAACUCUUUCUCUGUUACAA